ensembl:lncRNA
GCCAUCUGGUCCAACUGCCCUGCAAUGAACAGGGAUGCUCACAGCUUGAUCAGGGUGCUCAGACGAGCAAUGGACAUGGCUGGAUCCAGUUGUUUUUCUCUUCACAAAAGUCCUUAGGUCCACAAGGACAACACGGGACAAAUCAAUCUUACAAGAUGGAUGGGGCCACUGGGUGACGCUUGGGUGAAAACCGCUUCCAGAUUUCACACCAGCUUCGCUUUUGUGCUCCGGCUGAAAACACAGCUUUAUUGCAUGAGCAUAAGUAAUACAGGAAGGCACUUACCACUCCAUUUUGUGCAGCUUUUGUUUGUGAUAGUCUUAAUUUACUGCUGAAGUGAAUCCGAGACUGAUAAUUUUUAUGAUUUUUUACCGAGAAAAGACAUUAAGCUACUUACUUUGGCUGCACUUCCUACUCUGCAGAAAUUAUUUAUCCAAGCACAGCGGCAAAGUGGGUCAGGGGAGGAAUAAUAAUAAUAAUAAUAAAAGAAACCGCCCACAAAAAUCUUGAAUCCCUUGCAGAAGUUGGAUUAAGGCUCAAGAUACUGGAUGCAAACCGCUGCCACGUUCUCCAUUUCAAAGGAAAGGUGUCAGCUCAGGCAGCGAUGUCAAAGGCUGCAAAGUUUGGGCUGCAAAAUCCCACUCCUACCGUUUGCCAUGCUGGCCACAAAGGAACAGAGAGCUGGAUUUGGCUCUGCAAGCUACUCUGCCUUUUCCUCAAGGGAUAUAUACCCCAAGAACUGAGUUGCUUCAUUGAUUCUGUGCAUGGGCAAGCAGCAGUGCCCAUGGGGAGGAGGGGAGAACAGGGAAGAGAAAGCUUUUUUCCCUGUAUUUUCUACCACCAACUGCUCAGUUUGGGUGAAAUAGGAGAGUCACAUCUUUUCCCAACUCUCUGAAGUGAGGGGAACUUUGCUGAGGC